GACGAACGCUGGCGGCAGGCCUAACACAUGCAAGUCGAGCGGAGCGGCGGACGGGUGAGUAAUGCAUAGGAAUCUGCCUGGUAGUGGGGGAUAACGUCCGGCAACGGGCGCUAAUACCGCAUACUAUCAGAUGAGCCUAGGGCGGAUUGGCUAGUUGGUGGGGUAAAGGCCUACCAAGGCGACGUUCCGUAACUGGUCUGAGAGGAUGAUCAGUCACACUGGAACUUGGACACGGUCCAGACUCCUACGGGAGGCAGCAGGGGGGAAUAUUGGACAAUGGGCGAAAGCCUGAUCCAGCCAUGCCGCGUGUGUGAUGAAGGUCUUCGGAUUUUAAAGCACUUUAAGUUGGGAGGCGUUACCAGCAGAAUAAGCACCGGCUAACUUCGUGCCAGCAGCCGCGGUAAUAC
rnacentral:rRNA from 1 species